AGAGUUUGAUCCUGGCUCAGAUUGAACGCUGGCGGCAUGCCUUACACAUGCAAGUCGAACGGCAGCACGGGAGCUUGCUCUUGGUGGCGAGUGGCGAACGGGUGAGUAAUACAUCGGAACGUACCCUGAAGUGGGGGAUAACGUAGCGAAAGUUACGCUAAUACCGCAUAUUCUGUGAGCAGGAAAGAGGGGGAUCGCAAGACCUCUUGCUUUAGGAGCGGCCGAUGUCGGAUUAGCUAGUUGGUGAGGUAAAGGCUCACCAAGGCGACGAUCCGUAGCGGGUCUGAGAGGAUGAUCCGCCACACUGGGACUGAGACACGGCCCAGACUCCUACGGGAGGCAGCAGUGGGGAAUUUUGGACAAUGGGCGCAAGCCUGAUCCAGCCAUGCCGCGUGAGUGAAGAAGGCCUUCGGGUUGUAAAGCUCUUUCGGUGGGGAAGAAAUUGCUUCGGUUAAUACCUGGAGUAGAUGACGGUACCCGCAUAAGAAGCACCGGCUAACUACGUG
rnacentral:rRNA from 1 species